UACGAAGGGGGCAAGCGUUGUUCGGAAUUACUGGGCGUAAAGGGCGCGUAGGCGGGCUGUCAAGUCGGUGGUGAAAUCUUUCAGCUUAACUGGAAAAUGGCCUUCGAUACUGGCGGUCUGGAGGAAGGUAGGGGCAUGCGGAACUUCCGGUGGAGCGGUGAAAUGCGUAGAUAUCGGAAGGAACACCGAUGGCGAAAGCAGCGUGCUGGACCUUUUCUGACGCUGAGGCGCGAAAGCCAGGGGAGCAAACGGG
rnacentral:rRNA from 1 species